UGGGCAUUGCCAGCAAAGCCACCUGAGCUGGCAGGGACAGGAAUGCCCAGGGAUGGGGCCAUUGGCAGGACCUUAUCCUCAUGCCAAGGUCUUUUUCCUCUGCAAGUUUUCAGUGGAGCUUUCCUUGCACAUCCCCUUGCCUGCUUGUUGCUGGAGCUUGCCACAAGCACGAUGGUCUCUGUUGGUCACUUGGUCCCUGUCCCCUCCAGAGCAGGUCCUGGCUGUGGGGCAGUCACUGGGGGCAGGGCUGGCACCACCUCACACACAUUCCUGUAGGUCUGGGGUCCCUUGGCAGAGCUCUGCAAGCAGCUGCUUCCCUCUCUCUCUGCAUUAAGAUUAAUGCUUGAGCAGCAGUUGUCCCAUCCAUCUCUCUGGGAGGCUUCCUCCAAACAAAUAGCAGGAGGAGGUGGCAUCUAUUUGGGAAUGACAGGGCCUCAAUCUAUUUAUUCCACAGGUAACUGCUGUCUCCUGAAAUGUCAGAUUGACUCUUCAUCUUUCCCAGGCUGGGUGCGAGCGCGUGUGGCGGGCGCAGCCCGCCUCCCUUCAUUUGCAAGGAAAAAGAGUCACUGAGAUUGAUUGCACAAUUGAAUAUGCAGCAUGGUACAAUCACUGCAGCAGCAGUGGCAGUGACAGCAAUUCCCCAGUGAGAAUUGAAUUCCCCAGCAGAGCCUGAGGACCAGGAGGUGACGGUGAAAUGCACCUGAGGUGGGCUGGGGGAAGAGGGGAGAAGGGGGGAAAGGAGGAGGAAUGUGGUACUCAGGCUGUAUAGCUGCAGUGGAAGAGAAAUGCUGUUAAAUUGGGUGUGGUUCUAAAAACCCAGACCGGGGGUAUUUAAUCUUGGAAUGCAAUUACAUUCCUGUAAAAUCUUUCACUGGCAUGAUGCUGGCUGUGGAGGUGAGCACCAGAGACCUUCUGCCCACGACUUUGCAGAAUUUAGGCAGCUUGUGAGUGAGCAGUGAUGCAUGAAUAACCAAGAGAGAAUGUACAUCCUUUCAUGAGCAUUCAUGCUCAUCUGUGUCCUGAGAGGAAAGCAAUGUUUGGGUCACAGGACAGGGCAGUGGGAGCCUUAAAUCCCACGGGAAAUAAAAAUGAAAGAAGCAGUGAUAUUGAGAACUUCCCAGUCAGAGAUGGUGUAUCACAGCUGUUCUCUGUUAUAAACACCACCUUGAGCUCUUGCAGGUCCAGUAAAGAGAAAAGUAAAAUGAAAAUAUUGUAAUGGGUUAGAAAAUUAAGAACAAGACAGCUCCAUUCAGCGUGAGUCUGCGACAUGUCAGAACUGGCAAAAUGUUUCACUGUGCAAGUUAUUAAAGAUGAAGAAAUUGUGUA